rnacentral:rRNA from 1 species
GACAGAGGGGGCAAGCGUUGCUCGGAAUUACUGGGCGUAAAGGGCGCGUAGGCGGGAUGGCAAGUCGGUCGUGAAAUCCUUCGGCUCAACCGAAGAACGUCGAUCGAUACUGCUGUUCUUGAGGGUUGCAGAGGAGACUGGAAUUCCCGGUGUAGCGGUGAAAUGUGUAGAUAUCAGGAGGAACACCGGUGGCGAAGGCGGCUAUCUGGACAGAAACUGACGCUGAGGCGCGAAAGCUAGGGGAGCAAACAGG